GGCUGGUAUGAGUACAGUGUGUUUACAACUAAUUGAUCACAACCAGUUUACAGACUUACUUGUUCUUUUUUCACUCCCACUGCUGCACUUGACUAGCCUAAA
ensembl:Y_RNA Y_RNA Y RNA